rnacentral:tRNA from 1 species
UGUUGCUCAGUAGAAAAGCGCUUGCCUUGCAUGCAUGAGGCACUGAGUUCGAUCCUCAGCA